UCCCUGGUGGCUCAGACGGUAAAGCGUCUGCCUGCAAUGCGGGAGACCAGGGUUCAAUCCCUGGGUUGGGAA
rnacentral:tRNA from 1 species